rnacentral:rRNA from 1 species
UACGAAGGGGGCUAGCGUUGCUCGGAAUCACUGGGCGUAAAGCGCACGUAGGCGGCUUUCUAAGUCAGGGGUGAAAUCCUGGAGCUCAACUCCAGAACUGCCUUUGAUACUGGAGAGCUUGAGUCCGGAAGAGGUGAGUGGAACUCCGAGUGUAGAGGUGAAAUUCGUAGAUAUUAGGAAGAACACCAGUGGCGAAGGCGGCUCACUGGCCCGGUACUGACGCUGAGGCGCGAAAGCGUGGGGAGCAAACAGG